rnacentral:misc_RNA from 1 species
UGUAAGUUCCCACUGUAGCAAUAGCAACAUGGUCAUGUUUCGGAACUGCCACAGGAAAGGAAAUCCACAUCAAGGGACACUGCUCUACUACAUUAUUUACCUUCUGAAUCCCUUAUUUAUUAUUGGGGAACUAUUUAUGUAAGGGAAUUAAAGUGAUAACAAAGCCAAACCUACAGAGAAAAUACUUGACUAUCAGUCGCAAAGGUCCAACCGUGCAAUCAUCCCAUUGUUG